UAUUGGGCGUAAAGCGCGCGCAGGCGGUUCUUUACGUCUGAUGUGAAAGCCCACGGCUCAACCGUGGAGGGUCAUUGGAAACUGGAGAACUGGAAUGCAGAAGAGGAGAGUGGAAUUCCACGUGUAGCGGUGAAAUGCGUAGAUAUGUGGAGGAACACCAGUGGCGAAGGCGGCUCUCUGGUCUGUUAUUGACGCUGAGGCGCGAAAGCGUGGGGAGCAAACAGGAUUAGAUACCCUGGUAGUCCACGCCGUAAACGAUGAGUGCUAGGUGUUAGGGGUUUCGAUGCCCUUAGUGCCGAAGCUACCGCAUUAAGCACUCCGCCUGGGGAGUACGGCCGCAAGGCUGAAACUCAGAAGAAUUGACGGCGGCCCGCACAAGCGGUGGAGCAUGUGGUUUAAUUCGACGCAACGCGAAGAACCUUACCAGGUCUUGACAUCUUUUGCUACUUCUGGAGACAGAAGGUUCCCCUUCGGGGGACAAAAUGACAGGUGGUGCAUGGUUGUCGUCAGCUCGUGUCGUGAGAUGUUGGGUUAAGUCCCGCAACGAGCGCAACCCUUAAUCUUAGUUGCCAGCAUUCAGUUGGGCACUCUAAGGUGACUGCCGGUGACAAACCGGAGGAAGGUGGGGACGACGUCAAAUCAUCAUGCCCCUUAUGACCUGGGCUACACACGUGCUACAAUGGAUGGUACAGAGGGAUGCGAAACCGCGAGGUGGAGCCAAUCUCGCAAAGCCAUUCUCAGUUCGGAUUGCAGGCUGCAACUCGCCUGCAUGAAGCCGGAAUCGCUAGU
rnacentral:rRNA from 1 species